AAACUGGAAAACCCCUCAGGGUCCAUCAGGAUGAAGUAAGUCAAAUUGCCACUGUUGGCCCAGCUUUGCAACCGAGAAUUCAAAAGGCUGUUACCAUCGAUGUGUGCCCCUGGUGUUGACUCGUACACAGACUGUCAUUUCCAGCUGCCUCCGGUGCCAAGCAAACCACUCUUCAGAUAUUGACCGAAUCGAGACGGAAGGUCACGGCCAUUGGCCAUUGCCGGCAGCAGGCCAGCCCUUCUGGAAACUCUGGAUUUUGAGAGACUGUCUGCAAUGUUCACUUUGCUCACUCAGGAGACUCACACCCCACAACUACUGCCUUCUCUAUCUAGGAUCUCCCGGGGACUGAGUCCAGCUAACACUAGCACUAUCCAGGACCCAUGGACUAGCUGAAAUCCUGAGCCCAGAACAAAGCCUUGAGGCUCAAGUCACCAACAUCAGAGAGGCACCCAUGAGACAAUGGCCUCUGCUCCUGCUCUCCUCAGAGUGACAUCGCAAGGAGGCGUGGGAAGGAUGGACUAUGAAUCCCU
rnacentral:lncRNA from 1 species